CUACGGGGGAUAUCAAUCCCGCCCUUCUAAAGAUUUGAGAACAAAUUAAGUGAUGCAGGGGGAUUUGAUGAGUUCGUUCUGUUUCUCCGAGAGUGGAUCGUAGCGUUUUGCCCUUCCUCGCCUCUCUUUCCGUUAUGACUCGUUAUUUUGACACAAGUCCUACACGAUGUACUCUCACCCGUAUCACGGUUACCCAUUCACCCUGUAUUGAGAUUCAGUAUUCAGACCAACGUAACCGCAAACAGUUGCUAAACAAGUUUCUAAUAAAGAUUACCUGUGCAGAAGAUACCUCCAAAACAAGUCUCAAAGGUGACAUCUUGAUGAGAAAAGCAAUAGUAAAAUAAACAAUUGUCACACCAA